rnacentral:rRNA from 1 species
AUUGAACGCUGGCGGCAGGCCUAACACAUGCAAGUCGAGCGGAUGAAGGGAGCUUGCUCCUGGAUUCAGCGGCGGACGGGUGAGUAAUGCCUAGGAAUCUGCCUGGCAGUGGGGGAUAACGUCCGGAAACGGGCGCUAAUACCGCAUACGUCCUGAGGGAGAAAGUGGGGGAUCUUCGGACCUCACGCUAUCAGAUGAGCCUAGGUCGGAUUAGCUAGUUGGUGGGGUAAAGGCCUACCAAGGCGACGAUCCGUAACUGGUCUGAGAGGAUGAUCAGUCACACUGGAACUGAGACACGGUCCAGACUCCUACGGGAGGCAGCAGUGGGGAAUAUUGGACAAUGGGCGAAAGCCUGAUCCAGCCAUGCCGCGUGUGUGAAGAAGGUCUUCGGAUUGUAAAGCACUUUAAGUGGGGAGGAAGGGCAGUAAGUUAAUACCUUGCUGUUUUGACGUUACCAACAGAAUAAGCACCGGCUAACUUCGUG